UCUAACGCAUAUAAAUUCCCGAAUAUAACCUUGUGCUGCAAAUAGAAUAGCAGAGGAACUAAGCCACCACUUGAAGAACAACUGAGAUGUAUACGUGUGCUGUGUUUGGGUAGGAUUCUUUAUGUGUGCUAGGUGCAGCCAACCCCAGAUUACACAUGUGCUUCACAACCGACUUUCCACCCAAUAGGAAGCCACCAUUUGUUAUGUUCCUAUCCUCCUUGAUCGGUGCUUGUACACAAUUACAGCUAGAGCCUUCUUAUUCUUAAUUGUUGAUACUGUAAACUGGAACAAUGAACAAAGACUCACAAUAAUAGACUUGCUGCCAUUGUUUUUUGCUUUUCAUUGUCAUUUCUGUCUAAUUAUAUAUUUGUUUACAAUAUGGAAAAAAAAAAUAUUUGGUUUGUACAAUUUGUAUCUGUUCCUGAAAUUGAUGCUACAACUGUGAUGCAAAUUGACAAAGUAUUUGCUCAUCUAUGCAUCAAAGCUCUAUAUUGUUAUUGUUAAAUCACAAUUUGAUGAGCUCCCUAUUCCUCAAUUCAUGGGUUAGGUGACAUGCAUGUAUAUGUUCGUAUGCAUGCAUAUAUAUAGAUAUAUUUGUGUGUAUAUGGUGGAGGGAGGCAGUUUUACACCUUGUAGUUUUCAAUUUUUUAGGUUUGCCAAUGUUCAUGUCUUGGUGUUUGUUAGUAUAGAAAAACGUUGUACACCAUGUGUUUGAUGAUAUACCCAUAAGAAAACUUAUUAUGUUUUAAGUGGUGGUGUGUUUUUAUCUUUCUCCUCCUGACCUCUUAUUCCUUUUGUCGGUUUGAACAGGUUGGUUGGAUUUUGUUGUAGCUGAGGCCAAAAGGUAUGGAAUCAAACCUUGUGUUGAGUUUAGUGAGUAACUAUAUGACAACUUUGGAACAUGGAAACAGUAUGUGAAGUGAACUAGAAACAAAGGUCAAUACUUAACACCUAUUGUUAAAGGAUAUUACAACCAUGUUAAGUUGGUUCAGAUCAAGCAGCAUCAAAAAGUAGUAUUCCUUUUUCUCCCCAGUGGCUUUAUACUAAACCGAGUGAGACUAAGAUGGUGAGUUCUAUGAUUUGAUAAUUGUAGCUCUGUUUUUUACUUGACAAUAACCUAUGAUGCCUCUGUUUUGUGUACCAUUUUAUAUAUCUGUAAAGGUGUAGGAUAUACUAAUUUGAUGAUGGGUUAUUUACAUGGAGAAAAACUAUCACUUUGUGCCCUUAAUUAGCGACAAAUAAUGUACAUUAAAAUUUAGAACAUUGAGAAACAAUUUCUGCUAUAAUGGAGUUCAAAUGCUCAAAAAUCUAA